GACGAAGGUGGCGAGCGUUGUUCGGAAUCACUGGGCAUAAAGCGCACGUAGGUGGUGUCGUAAGUCGGGUGUGAAAUCCCUCGGCCUAACCGAGGAACUGCGCCCGAUACUGCGAUGCUUGAGGAUCAGAGGGGUGCAUGGAAUUUCCGGUGGAGCGGUGAAAUGCGUUGAUAUCGGAAGGAACUCCGGCGGCGAAAGCGAUGCACUGGCUGAUUUCUGACACUGAGGUGCGAAAGCCAGGGGAGCAAACGGG
rnacentral:rRNA from 1 species